AAGGACUCAGAUACUAUCAUACUAAAUUCUAACCCCUAACCCAUGUGUGUGGCUCAAUUUAGUCACUUUACGAAAGUUUCCCUGCUUUGCUCUGAUCAUCCGAAUUCCAAACCCCUUUGCCCCCAACUGGCUUGCUGCCUCUUUUCCUAUGCUAUGUCGACUAAAGAUUUCCUGCUUUGCUUUCCAAACUCUUCACUUCCUCUGCGGUUCUUAUCUACAACUUUGGAGCUUAAGAGCAAUGUCAAGUGUGAAUGAUGAUUCAGUGCCAUUGCCACCAAUGGGUACAGCUAGUAUGCAACCAACAUCACAUUUCUUUUCACUAGGAGCAAGUGAAGGUGAGACUUUGAGUUCCAAAUCCAAAGCAGAAAAGAAUAAAGGAGUUUGGUUGAGGGCAAAAUCAUGGAAUCGCUUCACCAGGUUGUCAAUGAUGAUGAGAUGUCAAAGAUUGAGAUUGUGGAUUCCAUUUCCAUUGUUGAUGAGUGAAGAGUUUAUAAUUGCAUUCUUCAUAUUUUAAUUGAGAUAGCCUAUGUGAGUGAAUGUGAAGAGUCAAGUCAUGAUGGAGAUUCAAGUUGAUACUUUGUGAAUUUUCAAAAAAGUUAAUACUUACUGAUGGUUAAUGAUUUUGUGUUAGUUUUAUUUUGUGGAUGUUAAUUUUAUUACCUUUGGCUUUUUGUUAUGUUGAAUCUUGAAUAUUAAUUUGAUAAUUUAUGUAAAAAGACAUAAUUAUGUGAGUGAAGGAACAAA